rnacentral:rRNA from 1 species
UACGUAGGGUGCGAGCGUUAAUCGGAAUUACUGGGCGUAAAGCGUGCGCAGGCGGUUUUGUAAGCCAGAUGUGAAAUCCCCGGGCUUAACCUGGGAAUGGCAUUUGGGACUGCAAGGCUGGAGUGCGGCAGAGGAGACUGGAAUUCCUGGUGUAGCAGUGAAAUGCGUAGAUAUCAGGAGGAACACCGAUGGCGAAGGCAGGUCUCUGGGCUGAAACUGACGCUCAUGCACGAAAGCGUGGGGAGCAAACAGG